GGGCACGUAGCUCAGUCCGGAAAGAGCGUCGGACUUCUAUCCCCGCCGGGAUUGCGGUGGGGGAAGACAUCCGACGGUCGUGGGUUCAAAUCCCAUCGUGCCCG
rnacentral:tRNA from 2 species